rnacentral:rRNA from 1 species
UACGAAGGGGGGCUAGCGUUGUUCGGAAUUACUGGGCGUAAAGCGCACGUAGGCGGAUAUUUAAGUCAGGGGGUGAAAUCCCAGAGCUCAACUCUGGAACUGCCUUUGAUACUGGGUAUCUAGAGUAUGGAAGAGGUGAGUGGAAUUCCGAGUGUAGAGGUGAAAUUCGUAGAUAUUCGGAGGAACACCAGUGGCGAAGGCGGCUCACUGGUCCAUUACUGACGCUGAGGUGCGAAAGCGUGGGGAGCAAACAGG